rnacentral:rRNA from 1 species
GGCUCGCAGGCGGUUUCUUAAGUCUGAUGUGAAAGCCCCCGGCUCAACCGGGGAGGGUCAUUGGAAACUGGGAAACUUGAGUGCAGAAGAGGAGAGUGGAAUUCCACGUGUAGCGGUGAAAUGCGUAGAGAUGUGGAGGAACACCAGUGGCGAAGGCGACUCUCUGGUCUGUAACUGACGCUGAGGAGCGAAAGCGUGGGGAGCGAACAGGAUUAGAUACCCUGGUAGUCCACGCCGUAAACGAUGAGUGCUAAGUGUUAGGGGGUUUCCGCCCCUUAGUGCUGCAGCUAACGCAUUAAGCACUCCGCCUGGGGAGUACGGUCGCAAGACUGAAACUCAAAGGAAUUGACGGGGGCCCGCACAAGCGGUGGAGCAUGUGGUUUAAUUCGAAGCAACGCGAAGAACCUUACCAGGUCUUGACAUCCUCUGACAACCCUAGAGAUAGGGCUUUCCCUUCGGGGACAGAGUGACAGGUGGUGCAUGGUUGUCGUCAGCUCGUGUCGUGAGAUGUUGGGUUAAGUCCCGCAACGAGCGCAACCCUUGAUCUUAGUUGCCAGCAUUCAGUUGGGCACUCUAAGGUGACUGCCGGUGACAAACCGGAGGAAGGUGGGGAUGACGUCAAAUCAUCAUGCCCCUUAUGACCUGGGCUACACACGUGCUACAAUGGAC